AAGCUCGUAGUUGAAUUUCGGGAUCAAUAUACCGGUCGUGCCUCAGGUAUGAACUGGUCUUAUUGGUUUCUCCCUUCUGACGAACCAUGAUGUCAUUAAUUUGAUGUCGUGGAGAAUCAGGACUGUUACUUUGAAAAAAUUAGAGUGUUUAAAGCAGGCUAACGCUUGAAUACAUUAGCAUGGAAUAAUGAAAUAGGACGUUCGAUCCUAUUUUGUUGGCUUCUAGGAUCGACGUAAUGAUUAAUAGGGAUAGUUGGG
rnacentral:rRNA from 1 species